CAAUUCUCCCCAUAGACAGCUCUCCUACCACUGCCCCUCAUCCCUCUAGCCCUGGGGCUGCAUUUCUAGAGUACACAAUCUGCUCCCACUCCACACAGGGGGAGACACCUUUCCAGGCCUGGCCAUAGGAAUAGAGCAUGCAUUCUGAAACACAGCUCAGAGUUUUCAGAAGUAUGCAAGAGUUGAUCACCGGAUGACUCAAUGUCUGCCCAGAUGUGGAAUGUUUGAAAGCUGUCUUCGGAUGAGAAUUCCUGCUCCCCUCACCCCGUCCAUGACUCCCCCUCCCUCAGGGCUGAAAUUGACCACCUCCCCUUACCACACAGCAGGGCUGGCUCUGGAUCAGAUCCUGACCCAUCCCCUGGUCAUCCUCUUCCAUCUUUCUCUUUCAGUCUUGAUUCCCUCCACUGGGCAGCCAUAUGGGCCCAGCUACCAGCCACUAACCAACCAACAGAAUGAACCUCCAGCUGAGCAAGGAGAAGGCCCCAGCACCAGCGCUGUCCCUCAGCUGGGUAAUCUCCUGACUGUGUUGCCUGACCUAUUGGAACCAAGGAUGAAGAUCCCAGUGUUGGGUGUUAUCAGAGCAGGGACCCAGGAGUGCCACCCACCAUUUAAUCCCAAGCUGCAGGGUUGAGGAAUGGCCAAGGGAGAAACAGCACAGCCCACUGGGAAGAUUCAGCUGCUCCUCAAGUGCCCUCCAAUGCAGAAGAAGCUCCUUGUUUCCAAGGAGCAGUUUCUUCCUGAAGUCCUCUUCCCACCUCGUCCACCAGAGCAAACCAAAGACAUUUCUUCUGGGAAAGUGCUCUCCAAGGGAACUGCUUCCCACUUGGUAGCCCCAGGAUACAAAGGCAGCAAAAGGGCCAAGCCAAGGGUGCAACACUUUGACUUUUUACCCCCCAUCACCUCGGUGUCCAAACACACAAAGACAACUAAAAAAGAAAAGCUCAGAUGGGAAGGAGGUUGGCAGGAACAUCCCUGUGGAACAAAAUGGAAAGAGGGCAAGGGCAGGGACAGAUAGAGAGCCAGCACCAAAACUGCCCAGGGGAAGCCCAAAGGCUAAGGAGAAGGAGAGAUCUGGAGAGAUGGCCAAAGCACCCCUUGACCAACAGCAAAGGAAAACCAUGCAGAAGAUUCACACUUGCCAUCUGGAGCUGUCCAUCCAACCCCAUCAGCCAAGGAAACCAGCAGGUACCAUGCCAGGCCACAGGCAGUUGAAAAUGCCUAAGGUCGUGCCGGGAAGGGGGAAAGCACGGCUGCUACUACCUGAAGCCAAAGCUGAGGACACAAAGAGGCAGAAAGUGGGGGGAGAGUCCAGUGGCUCUGCCCAGGCGGAAGGGCCAGCUGUGCCCCCGACUCCGAAGAGCAGCCUGGCCUGAAUGAUGCAGGACUCCGUGAAGGUGUUCCAUGCCCUGGGGGCACAUUCUGUACUGCACAAGAAUGACUCCCAGCAAAACCCACCAGCGCAGACAGAAAUCCUGGGUGGAACAUGCCCGAAAAAAGACCAUCGAUGUCCAUGGGAAGGCCACCAUGGGGAAACGUGGCUGAGCCUCCACCAAGGCCUUUGGGAGCCCUGCCAAGCAGACCAGCAGGGAAGGCAUCGCCCAGUUCCAUGGCCAGGCCAUCGGCUAUGCCAAUGGCCAACCUUCCACCUAGCUCAUUGGCCAACCCACAAUCAAUGCCAGUGUGGAGGACGCCGGGAUCCUGUCCCUAAAUGCUCCGGCCCUCCUCCCUUUCACAGCCCCGCUGUGGGAAUACGCAACAGCACGGUCUUGCUAGGAGGAACUUUGGCCAGUCCCAGCCGGCCCAUCAACCACAGCCACAGCCUUGGCAUCCCAGACCAACCCACCUACCCUUCCUCCUUGCCCACCAAGCCUCCAAAGAGCAUCUGGUCCUUCCACCUGGUCCCCAGAGCACUACAGUCUCAGCAGACCAGGAAAUUAAUAGGGCCACAUUCAUCCCUUGGAGGAUGCCCCCGGCCGACCUGGAAGUCUCCCGGCUCAUUACUGAGGAGCAGUGACCUGUCGGGGAGAUGAUGCGGCCUCGGGCUCAAAGAGCGAGGGAGGAGGCGGCUCAGUGGACAUCAGCCGGCCGAAAGCAAUAUUUUGUGGAGCGGGAGAAGGAAAUGAACACCUCCCUUAAGUAUGGCUACCCCUGGCAUCACUGAGAGGUCCUUUUGUGAACAGCUGGACAAACGUCUCUCAUCUGGGAUUGUUCAAGAGGAUUUCACUCCCUAAUUUCUCCCUGGGAAGAACCCUGAAAUCCAGGGCAUGUUUCGGUUUCUCUUUAUGGGAGCUCUGAAAAUCCAGAUAUAGGGAGAGAAUUUGCAGCACUUGCAAGCCACACAGAAAGUGCUUUGAAUUUGCAGCGCUUGCAAGAUUUUGCAGCACUUGCAAGCCAUACAGAACACACUUUGGAUCUGCAGCACUUGCAACACUUGCAAGCCACACUUCUCUGCAGCUGCCAGGGUCCUGGCCUCUGGGUGGAGCUAACAUCUUGAGCCCACAAUAUGUUUUGUUUUUUAGCACUAGUUUGUGCUUUUUCUUGUUAAAUCCAUUGAGUUUGUUUUAUGUUGGAGACUUGUCUCCUUAGUGUUUGUGAAAUAA